rnacentral:lncRNA from 1 species
CACUUCAUCUUCAUCAGCCACUGCUCAACCUGCACAUUUAGAAAUAUAUGCAGGGCUGAGUACGGGAGUACUCAGUGGGCACGUAUGCCUAAAUAUAAACAUCAUUGCGUAAAAACUAUAAAUUGUCAUGCUAUCAUAAACAGUACAACAAGAGAGUUUUAGCUAAAAGGCCCAAGUUUACUAAAUUCAUUUGUGAUUCUUAAAGUUCAUCUACAGACUAAGUUCUCUUGUAAUCUAUCAUAUCUGGAACUUGUGCCGGAGAGGUGGCCACCUCUCACGGACACUUGACCGGCCAACCCGCUAGAUGACUCACGGUCACUGGUGUACACUAAUCCUGGCAGGAUAGCUAUCAACUGCUCAGAACCCGAAUUCGAUUGCAUCAUUGGCAAAGCCAAAGCAGAUAGAUAUCAUACUAAAAUUGAAACAUUUAUGGCAAGACAAUACUUGAAAUAACUUUAACUCAAAGAUUUUGUAACGAAAUAACUUGCUCGAACAUUUAACUCAUUUGAUAUAUAUGAAAGUAAUACUCACCUGAUAGCGAACCUUUGCUAUAGCUUAGUGACUCCUUAUUAGCUUUUACUAUCACGCUUAACCUCGAAUGCGAGAACAUAAGGUAAAACCUUAACUCGAUGAUAAUUCUCAAAUGAAUGAGAAUGCGUAAAAGAAAAAUGCAUGACUCUUAUUCUAAUAAUUAUUAUUCUGCGACAAUAAUCUGAUAAAUUCUAAUAAUAAUCCAAACUAUAGGAUUAAAACUCGUCUUAUGAGGUUGGAUUAUUGAUCUUACUUAAUCUGCUCACCCUAGGGUAUUGUAACUCGUUUUCCAAUUAGUAACAUCAUUCUAACUUAAUCCAUAAUUAGAAACAAUUGAGUCUAAUUACUCGAUUAUAAAAUCCAGAACUAGUAAUUAAUCGAGCUUAACUUAAAAAUAAUGACAGCCCAAUCAUAGAUCAUAAUGUUGAAACACUUAAAGCUAUAAAACCAGCCCAUCAUAAUUAAAUAACUUCAGCCCGAAUUGGUAAGCAGAUGGCAUCAACCCAAGUCUCAUAAAUAACUCCCACUCCAAAAGAAUUUCAGCCCAAGAAAUAGUCAAAAUCGGCCCAUCCCUCUCUUGCUGAAAAUAGCCCCUUCUUCACAUCUCACACUGAGUUUCAAACCAGCGUCGCCUACCUUGGGAAUCCGGCGAUCCGACGCCUCGUCCGGUCGGUGCCUCCUUCACCCCCCUCCCCCUCUCGCCAGACUCUCACCCUCCAUCUUUAUUCUUCUUAUCGAUCUCUUAUAAUUUCAGGAAGCACACUCUUACAUGAGAAUCGAGCCCUAGCUUCUCUUCAAACUUGCCGCAGCCGUGGCUCUUCUCCGGCGAGACGGCGCCACCGUCUGCUCUCCUAUCUCUCUUCUCUCCUCUUUUCUCAAUUACAUCACUCCCUCUGAACUUUGAAUCCAUCGCACAUAAAGGGCAAUGCCGAGCCGCAGGUUCUCUCGGCUUCGGCGACAUCGCCGCCGCAGCUGCCUGGGCUCGCUCACUGCGCCGUCGCGCCUGGAGUCAGCGUCUCCUUCCUCGAUCCUCCGGUGGGCGGUUAAUUAGGGCAGGGCGGCGUCCGUUGCUCCCCCCCCCCCUUUUCACUCGCGUACACGAACGAGGGAAAUGCCAAACCCUCAGUCCUCUUAGCUCAGGCGAGAGAGUCACCGCCGUCUGCCCUCUGGUUCAGCGGAACAGACAAGUCGCCCCCUUCUCGAUUUAUUGAAUCAGGUACAGUAAAAUACCCCCCAUUCCCCUUAAAAUUUUAAGUUCGGUGUUACACAACGUGAAGGGAAUUCUCAUACUAUAAUAUAUGUAUUUUGAGUUAUUAGAGCAAGGGGAAGUGUGACAGGCUGACAUUCUAAUUCUGUAAACAUGCUGGAUUAAACAUACUACAGGACUCAUGGUUUGCUAUGUUCAUAUGCGUAUGCUUGUUUACACACUCUGUAUUUCUAUACAACAUGUAUGAAGUAUGGAUUGGAUUUGAAUAAGCUAAGCUUAGUAUUUACCUUGCAAUUGUUUGGUGUUUGGCCGUCUGUUGUUGCUGUUGAAUUCAUUGGGGAAGAAGCUGAAAAGAAUUGUGGGUUCAUCUUAAUAAAUGCAGGUUGAUUAAGAAUGGAAUGGGGAGUUAAAGCCAAAGCUUACCCUCCCUUGAAGUCUGGUAGCAGCAGCAAAUUCUUCUGCUCUCUCUCUCUUUCUUCAAAUUCUUGUGCACUAAGGAAAUUUGAAGGGAUUGUCGGGUGUAGUAUAAAGGGGUAGAUGGGCUGUCAUAGGGUGGCUGAUAGAGGGUGGUUGAAAGAC